rnacentral:rRNA from 1 species
AACGAACGCUGGCGGCGCGCCUAAUACAUGCAAGUCGAGCGAGAAGACGUAGCAAUACGUUUGUAAAGCGGCGAACGGGUGAGGAAUACAUGGGUAACCUACCCUCGAGUGGGGAAUAACUAGCCGAAAGGUUAGCUAAUACCGCGUACGCUCCUUGGACUUCGGUUCAGGGAGGAAAGCGAUACCGUGGGUAUCGCGCUCUUGGAUGGGCUCAUGUCCUAUCAGCUUGUUGGNGAGGUAACGGCUCACCAAGGCUUCGACGGGUAGCUGGUCUGAGAGGACAAUCAGCCACACUGGCACUGCGACACGGGCCAGACUCCUACGGGAGGCAGCAGUAAGGAAUAUUGCGCAAUGGGCGAAAGCCUGACGCAGCGACGCCGCGUGGGGGAUGAAGGUCUUCGGAUUGU